GAUGAACGCUGGCGGCGUGCUUAACACAUGCAAGUCGAACGAAGCACCUCUCCCGAAGAUUGCCACAGCUUGCUGUAGAUUGAUUCAUUUGAGGUGACUGAGUGGCGGACGGGUGAGUAACGCGUGGGUAACCUGCCUCAUAGAGGGGGACAACAGUUGGAAACGACUGCUAAUACCGCAUAGUAAGAAGAAUUCGCAUGUUUUCUUCUUGAAAGAUUUAUCGCUAUGAGAUGGACCCGCGUCUGAUUAGCUAGUUGGUAAGGUAACGGCUUACCAAGGCGACGAUCAGUAGCCGGCUUGAGAGAGUGAACGGCCACAUCGGGACUGAGACACGGCCCAAACUCCUACGGGAGGCAGCAGUGGGGAAUAUUGCCAAAUGGGGGAAAUCCUGAUGCAGCGACGCCGCGUGAGUGAAGAAGUAUUUCGGUAUGUAAAGCUCUAUAAGCAGGGAAGAUAAUGACGGUACCUGACUAAGAAGCCCCGGCUAACUACGUG
rnacentral:rRNA from 1 species